rnacentral:rRNA from 1 species
CGCUGGCGGCGUGCUUAACACAUGCAAGUCGAACGAUGAAGCCCUUCGGGGUGGAUUAGUGGCGAACGGGUGAGUAACACGUGGGCAAUCUGCCCUUCACUCUGGGACAAGCCCUGGAAACGGGGUCUAAUACCGGAUAAUACUCCUGCCUGCAUGGGCGGGGGUUGAAAGCUCCGGCGGUGAAGGAUGAGCCCGCGGCCUAUCAGCUUGUUGGUGGGGUAAUGGCCCACCAAGGCGACGACGGGUAGCCGGCCUGAGAGGGCGACCGGCCACACUGGGACUGAGACACGGCCCAGACUCCUACGGGAGGCAGCAGUGGGGAAUAUUGCACAAUGGGCGAAAGCCUGAUGCAGCGACGCCGCGUGAGGGAUGACGGCCUUCGGGUUGUAAACCUCUUUCAGCAGGGAAGAAGCGAAAGUGACGGUACCUGCAGAAGAAGCGCUGGCU